rnacentral:lncRNA from 1 species
UGGUCUUUGUUCCUAGUUUUGAAAGGAAGCUUCCAAAACUUGAAUUUUCUGAAUGAUCAGGGUGAAAGAAGAACUUGUGUUAUUUGCAAACAUGCCUGAGUUUACUACAGUGAGAUAACAUUUGUUGGGUUUUGAAUAGGGUUGAUUGUCAGGGGAAGGAACCAACUAAGUGACCAGAGGACUGGUGCCUCCAGUCUCACUCCCAGAGGUAAGGAAAGGACAGAAGUGGUGGAGAUGAAGUUGAACCACAAAUGAUCCAUGAUCUAAUCAGUGAUGCCUCUGUAAUGAACCCUCCAUAAACCUUUAAUGAAUGAAGUUGGGAGAACUUCUAGAAUGAAGAAUGAAAGGCAAGAGUUUGAGAAAAGAAGAGAGAUGGUGAGAUAUUAAUCCACACAGUUGAUGAAGAUGAAUCAAAGAAAGUUGCAGGAAAAGAAAAGACUACAUUGCACCAAUAGAUAGCAGUGAUUCCCUCAGUGAUAGUGAAAGUCAUCCUACACAAUAACCUCCUCUCUCUUGUUUUCCUCACACCAGUCAUGAUUGUUUUCAAAGUUGAAGAGAUUUGGAAGAAGAAAGCCACGUCAG